rnacentral:misc_RNA from 1 species
UUUCGAAAUUGUGUGUUAGAAUCAACUUGCACGCACCUCAACUAAUACUAAAAGGGUAGCUACCUCUCACCAGGAACCUUCUAUCAGUUCACACAAUCAUUUCAGUAUUUUGAUGUUUGACAUUUUCCAGGCACCAAAAUUGAAUGGUCUGAUAAGUUGCUACAAUUCUUGUGUCUAUACAUCUUAUUUCACUUUAAAACAACAGAAUAGACGAACGACCAUUCUAUUCACCAAUCUUUCUCUGAUAAAUCCCAGCUAUUAAGCUUUCCUUCGCGUGUUGAAAUAUUGCACAACAGUGUCUUGUCAACAUAACUAUUAUCAGAUUCAAGAUUGCAUUUCAGCAGUUUCUUUCCUGUAAGCCUGGAGCCUCUCUUUCAACUUCUUGCUCUGUUCAAAAUUUGCUUUCCUCUUUAUAGCUUUUUCCUGCCUAAAGCACCGGUCAAGCUUUACUUUCAGUUCUGUGCAUUGCCCAAGGAAUUUCCCUAGUGGGUGGUCUGUAUGACACUUCUGAAACUCUUCAAUUAUAUCAGCACAUAAAGGGUGUCUAUGUAGAGUCAAAGGUGGAUGCAUCUUCUUCCCUUUGAGUUCAAAACCUGAUCGGAGGUAGCGGUGGAACGCCGGCGCCGGAGAGAACGGGGCUGCAGAUAAAAUUAGGGAUUCGAUUCUUG